rnacentral:rRNA from 1 species
CGGGAAGAGCUCAAAUUUAAAAGCUGGUAGCUUUGUUACCCGCGUUGUAAUCUGGAGAAGCGUUUUCCGCGUCGGACCGUGUACAAGUCUCUUGGAACAGAGCGUCAUAGAGGGUGAGAAUCCCGUCCAUGACACGGACUGCCGAUGCUUUGUGAUACGCUCUCGAA